rnacentral:rRNA from 1 species
AUUGAACGCUGGCGGCAUGCUUUACACAUGCAAGUCGAACGGUAGCAGGCCUUCGGGCGCUGACGAGUGGCGAAUGGGUGAGUAAUGCAUCGGAACGUGCCCAGUCGCGGGGGAUACCUCAGCGAAAGCUGCGCUAACACCGCAUACGAUCUCUGGAUGAAAGCGGGGGACCGAAAGGCCUCGCGCGAUUGGAGCGGCCGAUGUCAGAGUAGGUAGUUGGUGGGGUAAAGGCCCACCAAGCCAACGAUCUGUAGCUGGUCUGAGAGGACGACCAGCAACACUGGGACUGAGACACGGCCCAGACUCCUACGGGAGGCAGCGGUGGGGAAUUUUGGACAAUGGGCGCAAGCCUGAUCCAGCAAUGCCGCGUGCAGGAAGAAGGCCUUCGGGUUGUAAACUGCUUUUGUACGGAACGAAACGGUUCGGGUUAAUACCCUGGGCUAAUGACGGUACCGUAAGAAUAAGCACCGGCUAACUACGUGCCAGCCGCCGCCGUAAUAC